rnacentral:snRNA from 1 species
AUGCUUGAGUUUUUGGGGGACACCUCACAAACCAUAACAGCAGCACAUAUACUAAAAUCGGAAUGAUAAAGAGAUUAGCAUGGGCCCUGCACAAGGAGGACACACAAACUCAGGAAACAUUUCAUAUUUUA